rnacentral:tRNA from 1 species
GAGGGCAGAGCUCAGUGGUAGAGCACGUGCUUGGUAUGCAUGCGGUCCUGGGUUCCAUCCCCAGGACCUCC